rnacentral:tRNA from 1 species
CAUUAGAUGUCUGAAGUGUAAGAAUUGAUCUUUUAAAUCAUAUUAUAGUAAUAACAAUUACUUCUAAUGA